rnacentral:rRNA from 1 species
AACGAACGCUGGCGGCAUGCCUAACACAUGCAAGUCGAACGAGACCUUCGGGUAUAGUGGCGCACGGGUGCGUAACGCGUGGGAACCUGCCCUUAGGUUCGGAAUAACUCCCCGAAAGGGGUGCUAAUACCGGAUAAUGUCUUCGGACCAAAGAUUUAUCGCCUUUGGAUGGGCCCGCGUUGGAUUAGCUAGUUGGUAGGGUAAAAGCCUACCAAGGCGACGAUCCAUAGCUGGUCUGAGAGGAUGAUCAGCCACACUGGGACUGAGACACGGCCCAGACUCCUACGGGAGGCAGCAGUGGGGAAUAUUGGACAAUGGGCGAAAGCCUGAUCCAGCAAUGCCGCGUGAGUGAUGAAGGCCUGAGGGUUGUAAAGCUCUUUUACCCGGGAUGAUAAUGGCAGUACCGGGAGAAUAAGCUCCGGCUAACUCCGUG